CAGGCCUUGACAUACUCUGCAAAGCUAUAGAGAUAUAGUGGAGGUUAACAGAGAUACAGGUGGUGCAUGGUUGUCGUCAGCUCGUGUCGUGAGAUGUUGGGUUAAGUCCCGUAACGAGCGCAACCCUUGUUGCUAGUUGCCAUCAUUAAGUUGGGGACUCUAGCGAGACUGCCAGUGAUAAACUGGAGGAAGGUGGGGAUGACGUCAAAUCAUCAUGCCCCUUAUGGCCUGGGCUACAAACGUGAUACAAUGGCUGGAACAAAGAGAUGCGAAAGGGCAACCUGAAGCGGAACUCAUAAAGACAGUCUCAGUUCGGAUUGGAGUCUGCAACUCGACUCCAUGAAGUCGGAAUCGCUAGUAAUCGCAGGUCAGCAUACUGCGGUGAAUA
rnacentral:rRNA from 1 species